rnacentral:misc_RNA from 1 species
GCUUAUUAUCUCCUGGAAAUUUACUAAAUAUUUUCUGGCCAACUCCCUGAUGUCGCAAACAGGGGCUGAGCCUAAUAGAUCACAUCUGUGUUAAAACAAGAAAUUGCGUAUAAAAUUUGUGUCCUAAUUAUAGCAAAAUCAUGUAAACCAAAUGAGAGACAUAGUAUAGCAAGCUUGAAAUAUAUAUAGACAUUUCCAGUAAUUUGGCAUAUAUGUUGAAUCACUUAAAAACAUUUCAACUUCACAGCUUCGAAACAGGUAAGCCUAAAGCUUUUGAAUUCACAAUGCUAGGGCAUGCAGCAGGGGGCGGUGCAUUCUCAUUUAAGAACGGUUCCACGCUGUUUGGAUUACUCCAAAUUGGGUAGCCUUUAAUUUUUCCCAGAACAUUCAAAGCGGCCAGGGUAGCCAUUCCCUCGCGAGUCCACUUAGAA